GUCAUUUGAGGACCUUAAGGUCCUCCGCGGGGCAUACCAGGAGAGGUGGUCCCUAGAAUGUGUGCUUUUAUUUAAAAUGCAUCUCUGGGUUAUUUGUGGGGCAUAGGAAUUCGUUCAUUUCCCCACCCCCCAAA